AUGGCUCAUUAAAUCAGUUAUAAUUUAUUUGAUAGUACCUUUUCACAUGGAUAACUGUGGUAAUUCUAGAGCUAAUACAUGCUAAAAACCUCGACUUCGGAAGGGGUGUAUUUAUUAGACUAAAAACCAAUGCCCUUCGGGGCUCCUUGGUGAUUCAUGAUAACUUAUCGAAUCGCAUGGCCUUGCGCCGGCGAUGGUUCAUUCAAAUUUCUGCCCUAUCAACUUUCGAUGGUAAGAUAGAGGCUUACCAUGGUGUCGACGGGUAACGGGGAAUUAGGGUUCGAUUCCGGAGAGGGAGCCUGAGAAACGGCUACCACAUCCAAGGAAGGCAGCAGGCGCGCAAAUUACCCAAUCCCAAUCCGGGGAGGUAGUGACGAUAAAUACUGAUGCAGAGCUCUUUUGGGUUUUGCAAUUGGAAUGAGUACAAUCUAAAUCCCUUAACGAGGAACAAUUGGAGGGCAAGUCUGGUGCCAGCAGCCGCGGUAAUUCCAGCUCCAAUAGCGUAUAUUAAAGUUGUUGCGGUUAAAAAGCUCGUAGUUGAACCUUGGGUUUGGCUGGCCGGUCCGCCUCACCGCGUGUACUGGUCCGGCCGAACCUUUCCUUCUGGGGAAUCUCAUGCCCUUCACUGGGUGUGUUGGGGAACCAGGACUUUUACUUUGAAAAAAUUAGAGUGUUCAAAGCAGGCCUAUGCUCGAAUACAUUAGCAUGGAAUAAUAGAAUAGGACGGCAGUUCUAUUUUGUUGGUUUCUAGGACCGCCGUAAUGAUUAAUAGGGAUAGUCGGGGGCAUCAGUAUUGAAUUGUCAGAGGUGAAAUUCUUGGAUUUAUUCAAGACUAACUACUGCGAAAGCAUUUGCCAAGGAUGUUUUCAUUAAUCAGUGAACGAAAGUUAGGGGAUCGAAGACGAUCAGAUACCGUCGUAGUCUUAACCAUAAACUAUGCCAACUAGCGAUCGGAUGGUGUUUUAUUUUUGACCCAUUCGGCAGCUUG
rnacentral:rRNA from 1 species